GUAUUUACCUGGACGGGAAACACAAUGACCAGGAACAUGGUUUUCUCGGGAGGAGUGUCCUCCAUUAUACUACAGAUGUCCUGACCUCAGAAAUGUUCCCAGAUUUGAGAAACUGGACUACAGAAUUGAUGGUUGUGGGGGAUUUUGCAUUUCCCGCG